rnacentral:lncRNA from 1 species
ACAUGGCAAGCAGGGGCCAGAUUAUAUACACUGCCUUAAAGAUUAUGGUCUUUAUCCUCAGUGCAACAAAAUAAAGUCAUUGAAGAGUUUUAAGUAGAGGACUGACAUGAUGACAUGUUAGGUUCAGCCUUCUGAAGAAUUUGAGAAUCCAUCAUUGCACUGGAAAAUGGAACAAAAAGUCGACUUCAAAGGACCUUGCCCACAAAAGACACCAGAAUGGCAUGAAAAUGCACCUCACAGACAGAGCACCCAGCUGCUGUGCUUUGAAGUCAGCCACACCUCCCAUUCAUUGCUGUUACCAAUGGACUGACUGAAUGCUGUGGCGAUACUGAGGCCGUCUUAGUCCCGGAAGACAGGUGGGGCUCCUUUGUCCACCGCUUAGGCUGGAGUACUUCCCCAUGGCUUUGACAAACAAUCCUUAGACUGCAGAGUAGUGUAGGAUUCUUCCAUUCAACCUUCUCUCCCUCAUCCUGGGGUCAGACUUGGAUGCAGUCCGACAGCUGUCCCAGCCUUUCCUAGCUCCUUCUUUAUUUCUUUUUACACAGGCAUUUCCCACUAUUAAAAUCCUGACAUAUUUAAUCCUGUCUUUGUAUCUGUUUCUCUGAGGUCCUGGGCUAACACAAUUUCCCUUCUGGAACUUUUAUGAAAAAUGAGCAAGUGGAGACAUUGAUCUUAUUUUCUAAUAUCUGGGUGAUCUACUAUUUGGUUCUUAUGCAUUAAAUUAGAUUUUGAAAUCUUAAACUCAGGUCCGGGUCUCUUUGAGCUUUGCUAAUUAGUGCAUGGUGUGGAAA